rnacentral:rRNA from 1 species
UACAACAUAACGUUAAUGCACCAGAUCCCAUUAGAACUCCUCGAUUAAGCACAUAGAGUAUUAUUGGAAUGGGUGACCACCUGGGAAUUCCUAGUGUUUUAC